CCUACGGGAGGCUGCAGUGGGGAAUAUUGCACAAUGGGCGGAACCCUGAUGCAGCAACGCCGCGUGGGUGAAGAAGUACUUCGGUAUGUAAAGCUCUGUCAGCAGGGAAGAAAAUGACGGUACCUGACCAAGAAGCCCCGGCUAACUACGUGCCAGCAGCCGCGGUAAUACGUAGGGGGCAAGCGUUAUCCGGAUUUACUGGGUGUAACGGGAGCGUAGACGGCAUGGCAAGUCUGGAGUGAAAGCCCGGGGCUCAACCACGGGACUGCUUUGGAAACUGUGUUGCUGGAGUGCAGGAGGGGUAAGCGGAAUUCCUAGUGUAGCGGUGAAAUGCGUAGAUAUUAGGAGGAACACCGGUGGCGAAGGCGGCUUACUGGACUGUAACUGACGUUGAGGCUCGAAGGCGUGGGGAGCAAACAGGAUUAGAUACCCGGGUAGUC
rnacentral:rRNA from 1 species